CUAGACCAAGGGGAUCAGAUGAUGGACUUCAAGUUCUCACUGGAGAAACCUUCAUCAACGUACAAUAGACUAUCCCCAGAAGGAAGUACUAUUGAUCCUUGUGAGCCACUGAAGAUAAACUUUUGUGGUUGUUGAAAGACUACAGCUUCUCU